rnacentral:lncRNA from 1 species
AGGCUCUUCAUUGGUGUGGAUCUGAUCAAAGAUGAGGCCACAAGGACACCAGCAACUGAAGAGGCUGCCUACUUGGUAUCAAGACAUGGAAGAGAAGGUGAGAAGUUGUGAAACGCUGAGGCUCCAGCCCUAAGCCAGCCCUGCUCUGCCUAGGUGUACUCCAGGUGAGUGGGCCUUGCUUCUUACUCUUGAAGAUGCACAGCGGGUUCCUUACCAUCAGCAGCAAGCAGCCUCGGCAAGCUGAGCCUUUUUUUAAAGACUUUUUUUUGUUGAUUGAUGCUCCUUCCCAAAGGUUAGUUUCUUCAACACUGGAAAUUCUCCAAUGCUUGCACUUGAUGGCAGGAACAGCUAUAUCCUCCCUUGAAACCUAUGGGGCUGUAUCCACGUGGAACCCCAACCCACCCUUGCCUCUUGUAACCACCUAGUCUCAACGCCCUAAAUACCAGACCUGGAGUUGGGCUCCAAUCCAGCCAAUAAACAUCCCCUGCCAGAGCAGGCUUUUCUUCACCAGCCAGGAGGAGCACUAUUGUGCCCCAAUACAGACGGCCCUGGCACUGCCCUAGUGUGUAAAGAAUCCCAUUUUUUCAUUCAUCAGCCAAGAAGGUUGGUGUUCCAAGGUGUCCCAGGAGGGGACAUGCCUGCUGGGGAUGUAAGCCCUCAUCACUGCCCCAUCCUCACUCCCCAUAGGCCUCUCAUUCCUUUCUUUGAAGGGGGCUCAGUCCUAGGCAGGGCAGUCCUUAAAGGAUACCCCCACAACUGGGCCUGCAGCUGGAAGAGCCUGCUGCAGGAGAAAGCCCCAAGUCCAGGGCACCUGGCACCCCGCCCCCCAACCCUGAGCAAGAGGUCUCACACAGCAUAUCCCACACUCACCCAGGCUUGGGGGUUUUUUAAUUUUAUUUCAAAAGCUUGGAUAGCUUCAAUAUCCAGGUUGUGGCAAAAUCAGGACACGUGUAAAAUACCUUACAAUACAUUAGAUUCCCAAAAGGUACCAAAAAGUACAGUAAAAUUAACACUUCCGUUACAGGAAAUGUAUGACGCAAAUAAUAUAAAAUUAAAAGGUGAAAAAAAGGUGACACUGGUUUCCUAAGAUAGAUACAAUUUACUCUUUACAACCAGGGUCCACAGGUCCAGGCUGCAGAGCGGCAGCAGGAAGCAGAGCCUCCCACCUGCUUCUGGGGGACCUGGUAAUAAAAAUCAGCCCAUGAUGGCGCUAUGGCCUCUCAGACACCACACGCUGCCUAAACACCUAGAGCUCUGGAAAUAGUAAACAGGAGAGUGAUUUCCAUGGGGGAAAUUUUAAAUAAGAUGCACAUGGGACAGGCAAUAGAAAGUUUGCCAAGUUAAAUUUGGUACAUAAUUGUGUUCACUCCAUAUCCAAACAAAGCAUGUGUGCGGUCAGUUGGUCGCUCCUGCUGCCGCCUCAGUAUGGCUUGUAGUUAUUCUGAUGGCCACCACGUCGCUGGCUCUUGCCGUAGUUUGUACUACCCUGACCUAGGGACGAGAACAACCAUAGCAGCUACUAUUUACAAGCAUUUGCCCUGUGUCACGCGCUUGAUAUGCAUCUUCCCAGGACCCUCACCAGCCGUGACAGCAGAGAUUGCCUUCCUCAUGUUACUAAGACCCCGAAGUCUAAGGCUCAAAAUCAAGUAGCUCCCAUGGCUGAGCCAGGCCUGUCUGACUCCAAAGCCCCUGCUGCCAGUGGCUCCUACACUGUCCUGCCUCCCCUGGGGACGAGGGGUGAGCGGAUGGGGCCUCCCUCUCUCCUACUUACUGUAGUCGUAGCCGGGGCCGUAGCCGUAAUAGCCAUAGGGCGAGUAGUCGUAGCCGCCAUAGCCAGGCCCGUAGCCCUGCUGGUAGCCGUAGCCCUGGUUCCAGUAGUUGCCGUAGCCCUGAUUCCAACUCUGACUCUGACCUGUGGGGGGAGCAGGGCACAGGGGCCCGUGGACCAUUUAGCAUACGCAGGAGCUAGGAUGGAGGAAAUCCUGCCCUUUGGGGUGGCAGGGUUACUGUGGCAACUCAGGCAGAAGCCAAGGGGCUGCUGUUCUGGUGUAUAGGGCCCUGGGCCCAACCCUGCAUCUGAGAGACCCAAGCAGAGGAUCAGAGACCAGGAUGCUAACUUUACUUGGGGCAAACAAGGCAGCUCACUCACUCAGUCACUCUCUGAUCACUCCCACUCUCCUUGGCAGCUUAGCCUUUAAAAAGAUGCAGUUCAGGCUUUGGAGUCAGAGGGGCCUGGGAUGGAAGGGGAUAAAUGCCUGGCACAGCUCUGCCCUACCCACCCUUCUGCCUACCUGCUCACAGGUGUACCAGACUCAGGACAUCCACAAAGCCAAGACACCCAUCACAUCCCCUCCCCCAGAGUGUAACACAAAUGCUCUCUCUGCCCUGGGCACCCAAGCCAUUCCAAGGGGCAGCAGCAGGCAACAGCCUCAAGCAUACAGCCCUGACCCAGAGCCAUUCCUAUUCCUGUUCGUCCCCCACCUCACACAAUCUGCCCACCCCUGCUGCACAGCACCAGAGGGAGCCCCAAGACAGGCUUGGAAGGCUCCAUGUAGGCAGGGAAACAGGACCUAGCUUCAUCCACGUUCCACUCACCUCCACCAGCACCACCACCUCCGCUGCCUCGGUUCCCUCGGUUGCGGUUUCCACGGCCCCCAGAGCCAUACUGCUGCUGCUGAUAGACUUCUUUGGGCUGGGCCACCUUGAUCUCACACUAAAAGUCAAGAGGACAGUGGUCAGGCCAGUAGGACAAACUCAGGGCAGUGACUGCCCAAAGACCUUCACUGCGACAAACAUCAAAUGGUGGAUCAGGUCCAUUUGCUGAGAAACAAAAUAUGCUAGUAUGGGAGGCCACCUUUGGGCUAAAGCUCAUGGAAUCCCAACUAAAACCAAAGGCCUUCCAGCAGAGAACCCUUCCCACAGAAUGCACUUGAGAUGGGCAUCUCAGCCCCAGAGCAACUCCAUAUCUAAUGGAGGCAGGCAACUGGGCCAACUGCAGCCCAGGGGAGCAGAGGACAGGCUGGGAGCAGGCACCACACCUUGGUCCUGCUGGGCUAGAGGGUCAGACAAGACUUUUCAGAUGAGGGGCCUUAGACAAUGAGGUUUUAACAUCUUUUUCUCUUUACAGAAGAAACUCAUCUCAUCCAAAUACACGCUAUUGAGAAGGCGAGCCUGACCUCCCUCUUACAGAUAAAGUCAGCUUUCAGAGGCUCAGGGUGGGGGGCCUGCCCAAGGCCAUAAUGCUACCCACCCCCUCCUCCUAACCACUGGUCUGUUGGGAUAACCCAGAUGUCUGCAUCCCCUCAAGUCAGUCAAUUUCCUUUCUGUCCACUGGGGGUGGAAUGGGGUAGGGUGGGGUACUUUAAAGUGCUCCUGCUUAAAUAAGUUAGACCAGACCAGUGUAUUUCUAAAGAAAAUCCUGACAUGCACACCCAUUAAAAAUAGUACAUUUUACAGUGUCCCAGUCAUACUUUUAAUUGGCAAAUUAAAAUAAUGCAAUCUGAUAUAUUCUAUCCUACUAAAUUAAAA